UGAUUUUUUAAUGGCCGCGGUAUUUUGACCGUGCAAAGGUAGCAUAAUCAUUAGUUUAUUAAUUGUAAACUUGUAUGAAUGGUUUCACGAAAUAUUAACUGUCUCAUUUUUAUGGAUUGAACUUAAUUUUUGAGUUAAAAAGCUUAAAUUAUUUUGUAGGACGAGAAGACCCUAUAGAUCUUUAUUUAUAUAUUUAUAACUUUUUUUUGUUUAUUUUUUAUUUAUUGAUAUUUAUGUUUAGUUGGGGUGACGUAGAGAUAUAAUUAACUCUUUAUAUUAUUUUACAUUGAUAUAUGAUUGAAUGACCUUUUAUUAUUGUUUAUAAGAUUAAGAUACCUUAGGGAUAACAGCGUAAUUUUUCUUAAGAGUUCAUAUCGACAGAAGAGAUUGCGACCUCGAUGUUGGAUUAAGGUUUAUUUUGGGUGUAGAAGUUCAAAGUUUUGGGUCUGUUCGACCUUU
rnacentral:rRNA from 1 species